UACGUAGGUGGCAAGCGUUAUCCGGAUUUAUUGGGCGUAAAGGGAACGCAGGCGGUCUUUUAAGUCUGAUGUGAAAGCCGUCGGCUUAACCGGAGUAGUGCAUUGGAAACUGGGAGACUUGAGUGCAGAAGAGGAGAGUGGAACUCCAUGUGUAGCGGUGAAAUGCGUAGAUAUAUGGAAGAACACCAGUGGCGAAAGCGGCUCUCUGGUCUGUAACUGACGCUGAGGUUCGAAAGCGUGGGUAGCAAACAGG
rnacentral:rRNA from 1 species